rnacentral:rRNA from 1 species
GACGAACGCUGGCGGCGUGCUUAACACAUGCAAGUCGAACGGAAAGGCCCUGCUUUUGUGGGGUGCUCGAGUGGCGAACGGGUGAGUAACACGUGAGUAACCUGCCCUUGACUUUGGGAUAACUUCAGGAAACUGGGGCUAAUACCGGAUAGGAGCUCCUGCUGCAUGGUGGGGGUUGGAAAGUUUCGGCGGUUGGGGAUGGACUCGCGGCUUAUCAGCUUGUUGGUGGGGUAGUGGCUUACCAAGGCUUUGACGGGUAGCCGGCCUGAGAGGGUGACCGGCCACAUUGGGACUGAGAUACGGCCCAGACUCCUACGGGGGGCAGCAGUGGGGAAUAUUGCACAAUGGGCGGAAGCCGGAGGCAGCAACGCCGCGUGCGGGAUGACGGCCUUCGGGUUGUAAACCGCUUUCGCCUGUGACGAAGCGGGAGUGACGGUAAUGGGUAAAGAAGCACCGGCUAACUACGUG